rnacentral:lncRNA from 1 species
AGCCACAGCAGGAACUCCAAGAUUGCUGUUUUUUAGGCAAUGCACAGUUGCCCAACCACCUACCGGAAAUGCACACAUUAUUUAAGAGCAUUGUUUGUCAAAUGUAGAUAGAGUAUUCAUCACCUUCAUCAUCACAACAUCUAACAUUUCCAUAGCACUUUCUCAGAGGUGGUAAAUUAUUGGUCCAAAUACCAAGUUUGGCCAGGUGCCAGGCUUUUCUCAGGCCCACUCAGUAUGGUUUUUUGAUUUAAUUAGUUGCCACAAUUUAAAGUUUGGGAUACUUUACAUUUUAAAAAAAAUGUAUUUCUACCUUAUCUUAAAAAUAAUAUAAUAUCUAAUUUUAGGUCCAUGUUUCCUCAUGAAACAAAAUCUCUGAAGUUGAGGGGCAGCUGGUCUUUUUAUACAGGACAUGGUGCUACUAGUUCACCACAGUCCCCACAACUUUCUCUUGACAUACACAUAAUCCAUUACAACUCACUCUCAUCACCUGCCUGAACCAUUUGAAUUUGCAACUUCUGCUUCUCACUCAACAAAAUAUUCCUGAAAGUGUACUUCUUAUCACUUAGAAAUCCACUUGUGCUUGUUAUUAGUUUAGGAAACACCAUGCAUCUAUAAUUUGUCCAUUAAAAAUACUUCUACAACUUAGUCUUUAACAUGUAUCUUUAGUCUUAAGACCUAUAAUAGGAUAUUGAGUGGUAAUUUUCUUCUUGUCUCAGAACUUAUAAGUCCAAAAGCUGAGGGUAAUUAGUGAUAAUGUCCUCAAAUCCUAAAGAGGAGCUGCUGGACAUGCUGAGUGAGAAUCAAUGAAAGAUACAGGUCAUCCCCCAGGCCUUCAUUCACCUCUGUGUCCUAUGUCAGGAAACAAAUAGAAAUCCAGAGGGAAGGCAUCAAAGAGCCCUGAGGAGAGUUUUGGUUCCCCUGACUCUGGACCAAAGAGUGUCUCCUGGGACGUCAGAAGUGCCUGCGGGGAGGGGCUACUGACAGCCACCUCCUUAUCUGGAUGCAUCCAAGCAGCAUAAUCUUAGCCUUUGUACCCUUCCAAGGAGGAGCAUAGGGAGGGGGGCACCUAGGAGAAUGUGCCAUGCAGUCUCUUGAGUUGGUGGCAUGCAUGAGCAGAGACUGGGGCCCACUUCUCACCUCAAGAUGCUUUCAGGCAAAAGGCAAGGAGGCUGAGCAGAGAGGGCAGUGGUGGGUUCACCUGCACUCUCCCCAAGGAUGCUCCAGUGUCCUGGGGAGUCCUAUAGUAGAUAAGUUUCGAGACCAUUGUAAUCUGAUGGCUUGUUAAGUCACUAAAGACUCAGACCCUUUCCCUUUAUUUCACUUCCUGAAAAAUCAUGGCCUCUCAAAGCUGCCUCUUACCCUGGAUUCAAGAUGUCACUGCCUUGGGUGACCUCUGCCUCAGCUCCAUCCAGAAAGAAAGUAUGUUAAGGUCCCAGCAUUUCAAGAAAGGGUCCUGAGAUUCUGUUGCCCCAUCGAAGGGCACACCCCAGCCUCGAACCAAUGAUGGUGACAGGAGAGUUGUUGAGAGGGUUGAGGUGGCAAUGGGCUUAAGCUGGUCAGCAUCCAUCUCUGGAGCAGCAUUUGAGCUUUGAGGGUAGGAAUAGCCAACUGAAUGAAAAUCAUUUGGAAGCAGGGAGUGAAUUGGUUAGGCAACCGAUAUUUGUUUUCUGAAGAAGUAAUUAAAGAUAUUUAAGUAGGGAGUGACACAUCCAACCACAGAUUCGAAGUCAUGCUGGUUGCAGUAUGAAAUCUGAAAUGCAGGAAGGCAAGACUAGAAUGGGUAACUUUCCUAUAAAUAAACCCUUUUCUAUAUUUGAAAGUGAAAUUUUGGCCUUUAAUAUGUGCCUCAGCACUUAUAUCAAAACUUGAAGCAGUGAAGAAAUGAAGGCAAAUAUUUCCUGACGUUGCCAAGCAUCUCUCAAUACCUUUGAAGUGUCUUCAGCCUAUUAAAGCCACUAUUCUGGAAACUGUGCUGUCAACAUGGAUACAAUUUCCCAUCUAAAGAGCAUUGAAAAUAGGUGUGUCAUAACUAGAUCUACAGCAAUUUGACUUGUUUUCAAAAGAAAUAAACAUCUCAGCUUCUAUUUGCACAUAAAUGCAUAUACAUCCAUACACUCACACACAUAUUCACGCACUCACACAUAGUCACACACAUGCACACUUAUGUAUUCACAUACACUAUCACACAUAGUCACUCUCAUGCACACACACACACACACACACUUUCUCACUUGCACACUUAAAUAUGAGAGAGCCAAUGCAAAGAACACCUCGUAUUACUCUGGAAGGCCCAUAAUGGAAAAAGGGAAAUGAUGAAUAUGUAUUUGGGUGCAGUUUUUAAAAUCUUGCUGGUUUACUUUUCUAUUUCAAGGAGAGAGGGGAGAUCAGCCUGGGUUUGGGGAUUUAGGUCUUGGAAAUUUCCAUCUUCAUCAUGUAUUCUAACUGUCUGGGGUAAAGCACUUUUCACAUUUCAGCUCUAACCUGCUCGGUUUGCAAUAGCUAGCAUCUCUACAUGAAAGGGCAUCACCCUCUUUCUUGGAAUACAAGCUGGGAAAAAAUCUCAAACUUAUAUCUGCGCCACUAUAUGAAAAGAGGAAAGGAUGUGGAUAAUAUCAUGGCACUGAUAGAAAUAAUGAAACAACAGUGAAGGAAACUAUGGUGGCCUCUCAAGUUGCAGCUCCCAGCUCUACCCUGACCAGCAAGUUAAGUUCCUUGAAUUUUUGAGUCCAGUCUUUUCAUUUAUUCCAUUCUAAUAAGUUCUUUUCAGUAUUUUGCAAAUAUAAUUGGGUAAUAGUGAGCUAGGUAAUUUUUCCUUGCAGACUCUGAACUUAGCUAGCUCCUGGCAGUUGUGUGCUCUCGGCAGCUAUACGCUGAGCCCAGGGAAGCUCAUUGCUGGGGCAUCUUAAGCCACUGACGUGCUCCUUAAACCCUCAGCACAAAUUCAGACCUCUCCCUGCUAUGCCACGAGACUUCCCUCUUAGGGGUGUUCGGGCCCACAGGCUGAGGACAGUGGGUGGAAGUGAGGGAACAUGGUGGGUCAUCUCCAUAGCGCUGCUCUCCCUGGGGUUCAAGUGAGGACAUGCUGUAGCAGCCUCGGUCCUCUGAGACUGACUGCACCCAGCCCUGCCUCAGCUAAUAAAAGCCUUUGUGUACACAAAGAAGAUUCACUCUUAUCUAUGUCGGAAUUUGUUCUUGAUUUUUUGGGGCUUUGUUUUGUUUUAUUUUGUUUUUUGCAUUGGCUUGAAUAAAAUUUAGCAAGUUAGACAUACCAGUGUCAAAUAUAUAACAAUAUUGACUCUGUUACAGUUUUAUUCCAACCCAAGAAGAAAAUUUGAGAAGUAGGUAACCUGUGUGAGAGCUUACGGUCCCUCCACCGUUACUCCAUGGGAUUUCAACCCCAACAUUGAAGGUCUCCCCACUGACCACCACAUUCCCAGGGUGUUCUGCAAGAGUACUCCAAAACAGCAAAAUGUAUCUUAAGCCUUUGCCCUUUUGCCCCAUUCAAAACCUAGAGGUCCUAUGUUCCUAUUCAUUAGUACACAGCUCGUUACCAGAAAAGCCAUUAUAGCUUCAGCUAUGCAUAUUUUCCUUGUGCAGAUUGGAUUAUAUACAAGCAGAAAGACAAAGUAGAAAAACAUAUAUAUUUAUAUUCACACAAGCCAAGUACAUCUCCUUGUGUUCAGUAGAAGUAGUGGUCAUUUAUUCCAACUCUGGAAGAAAGAAUUGCUGUAUGGGGCUUAUCAAGAGGUCACAGAAUCUACGAACAACCAGGUCCACAGUCUCCACAGUUGUUACGGACCCAGCACCUUGCAAUUCCACUGUACGUCAAGGCAAAGAAUUGGCAUAUGCUCAAAGCUUGGUAUUUUACCCCUUAUGAGUCAUUUUUCUAUUUUACCAGGACUCUUCAGUGUUCAGUACAAAAUUGGAGUAGCUGAAAUGCCCUGUUACCUGCAGGGUGAGUCAGUGACCCCAGCUGCACAGCCCAGCUGCACAGCCCAGCUGCCUCAUCUCCCUCCCCCGAGUCUCUGCUCUUCAUUCUGGAACCUUUUCUACCCUUCCUUUUAACUUUCAGACUUCAUAUUUGUCCAUUAAAACAAUAUAAACUCAUAAAAACCUGGGUUCAAGAAAUAUAGAGUAGCAAAAACAAUAUGUAUAUUUUUCUUCUAGAUUUUUAUGUAAAAAAAGAUGCACUCAUUCCAUGAAGACAAUUAUAUGCCCUUAUUUUUCUCUUAAACCUGUAGCUUAAACACCUCCAAUGAUAUUAAAAUCUCUCUGUAAACCUCACUGUAAGAUGGUCAUGUGAUAGUCCAUGGUGUGACUAGUUUGUGGUGCACUUACACCUUCCCCUUUGGUGUCAAGCAUUUAAGCUACUUCCAUUUUUCACCAUGAUAAUAUGUACUGAUCAUAGGCACUUAAUACUUCUCUGCCAUCAUUAUGCUGUCACCUGCCUAUCACAUCUUUCCCUCUGUUCUCUGCCUGGUAAACUCCCACAUACCCUUCAAGUCCCAGCUCAAGCAUCACUUGUUCUGCCUGCUAACUUGUUCUUUAACUAACUCCUCUGGGUUAGUUACUUCUGUUCUGGAUUUUUGCAUCACUCUGUGCAGCUCUAUUACAACACCAUAGACAUGAUAUAGUAUUAAGAUGUAUGAGCAUGUCUUCCACUAAAAUGUGAGCUUCUUGAAUAUAGAGUCAUGUGUUUUUCAUCUUUCUAACCAUAUCGCCUAGCAUAAUGCCUAGCACAUAGUAGGUACUCGAUAAAUAUUUGCUGAUUAAAAGAAUUUCAGUCAAGGAGUUCCCAUAGUGGCACACUGGAAAUGAACAAAUCCGACUGGGAACCAUGAGGUUGAAGGUUCAAUCCCUGGCCUCAUUCAGUGAGUUAAGGAUCUGAUGUUGCCAUGAGCUGUGGUGUAGGUGGCAGACACUGCUUGGAUCUGAUGUUGCUGUGGCUGUGGUGUAGGCCAGCAGCUGUAGCUCCAAUUGGACCCCUAGCCCAGGAACCUCCAUAUGCU